GACGAACGCUGGCGGCGUGCUUAACACAUGCAAGUCGAGCGGUAAGGCCCUGACUUUGCUGGGGUACACGAGCGGCGAACGGGUGAGUAACACGUGAGUAAUCUGCCCUUCACUCUGGGAUAAGCUUCGGAAACGGGGUCUAAUACCGGAUAUGACCACUUCUCGCAUGGGAUGGUGGUGGAAACUUUUGUGGGUGGGGGGUGUGCUCGCGGCCUAUCCGCUUGUUGGUGGGGUAAUGGCCUACCAAGGCUUCGACGGGUAGCCGGCCUGAGAGGGUGACGGGUCACACUGGGACGGAGACACGGCCCAGACUCCUACGGGAGGCAGCAGUGGGGAAUAUUGGACAAUGGGCGGAAGCCUGAUCCAGCAACGCCGCGUGAGGGAUGACGGCCUUCGGGUUGUAAACCUCUUUCACCAUUGACGAAGUCGCACAGUGUGUGUGGUGACGGUAGGUGGGGAAGAAGCACCGGCCAACUACGUGCCAGCCGCCGCCGUAA
rnacentral:rRNA from 1 species